AACGAACGCUGGCGGCAUGCCUAACACAUGCAAGUCGAACGAGACCUUCGGGUCUAGUGGCUCACGGGUGCGUAACGCGUUGGAACCUGCCCUUAGGUUCGGAAUAACUCCCCGAAAGGGGUGCUAAUACCGGAUACUGUCUUCGGACCAAAGAUUUAUCGCCUUUGGAUGGGCCCGCGUUGGAUUAGCUAGUUGGUAGGGUAAAAGCCUACCAAGGCGACGAUCCAUAGCUGGUCUGAGAGGAUGAUCAGCCACACUGGGACUGAGACACGGCCCAGACUCCUACGGGAGGCAGCAGUGGGGAAUAUUGGACAAUGGGCGAAAGCCUGAUCCAGCAAUGCCGCGUGAGUGAUGAAGGCCUUAGGGUUGUAAAGCUCUUUUACACGGGAUGAUAAUGACAGUACCGGGAGAAUAAGCUCCGGCUAACUCCGUG
rnacentral:rRNA from 1 species